rnacentral:pre_miRNA from 2 species
CUUCUCUUUCCAGUUCUUCCCAGAAUUGGGAAAAGUUGGGUUGAGAGGGU